rnacentral:rRNA from 1 species
GCUUGACUGUAUCCUGGAAUGGGGUUCGGGCUUUUCUUGCGCAGUCUAGGUGGGAGGCUUUGAAGGUUUCUUCCGGGGAAAUUGGAGCCAUCAGUGAGAGACCACUCUGGAAAGGCUAGAAUCCUAAUGGUGAUCCUUGAAUCAGGACACUUGACAGUUUCAGGUGGCAGUUUGUUUGGGGCGAACGCCUUAUAAAGCGUAACUAAGGCGUGCAAAGGUUCCUCAAUCUGGACGGAAAUCAGAUGUUGAGUGUAAAGGCAAAAGGAGCUUGACUGCAAGACCUACAAGUCGAGCAGGGCGAAAGCCGGCCUUAGUGAUCCGACGGUGCCGUGUGGAAGGGCCGUCGCUCAACGGAUAAAAGUUACUCUAGGAUACAGAGUG